rnacentral:rRNA from 1 species
GCGAACGUAACCCUACGACCGUCCGUACGAUAUACGGUCGCGGGACACAGAGAUGUGUCUUUCAGUUCGGCUGGACCCGGAUACAGGUGCUGCAUGGCUGUCGUCAGCUCGUGUCGUGAGAUGUUGGGUUAAGUCCCGCAACGAGCGCAACCCUCGCCCUUAGUUGCCAGCAUUUAGUUGGGCACUCUAAGGGGACUGCCGGUGAUAAGCCGAGAGGAAGGUGGGGAUGACGUCAAGUCCUCAUGGCCCUUACGGGCUGGGCUACACACGUGCUACAAUGGUGGUGACAGUGGGCAGCGAGCACGCGAGUGUGAGCUAAUCUCCAAAAGCCAUCUCAGUUCGGAUUGCACUCUGCAACUCGAGUGCAUGAAGUUGGAAUCGCUAGUAAUCGUGGAUCAGCAUGCCACGGUGAAUACGUUCCCGGGCCUU